GACGAACCGUCCUAACGUUGUUCGGAAUCACUGGGCUUAAAGGGCGCGUAGGCGGCCCAGCAAGUCGGGGGUGAAAUCCCACGGCCUAACCGUGGAAGUGCCUCCGAUACUGCGGGGCUCGAGGGAGGUAGGGGCGGGUGGAACUUCCGGUGGAGCGGUGAAAUGCGUUGAUAUCGGAAGGAACGCCGGUGGCGAAAGCGACCCGCUGGAUCUCUGCUGACGCUGAGGCGCGGAAAGCCAGGGGAGCAAACGGG
rnacentral:rRNA from 1 species